rnacentral:rRNA from 1 species
GCUUAACCGGAGAAGUGCAUCGGAAACUGGAUAACUCGAGUGCAGAAGAGGGUAGUGGAACUCCAUGUGUAGCGGUGGAAUGCGUAGAUAUAUGGAAGAACACCAGUGGCGAAGGCGGCUACCUGGUCUGCAACUGACGAUGAGACUCGAAAGCAUGGGUAGCGAACAGGAUUAGAUACCCUGGUAGUCCAUGCCGUAAACGAUGAGUGCUAGGUGUUGGAGGGUUUCCGCCCUUCAGUGCCGGAGCUAACGCAUUAAGCACUCCGCCUGGGGAGUACGACCGCAAGGUUGAAACUCAAAGGAAUUGACGGGGGCCCGCACAAGCGGUGGAGCAUGUGGUUUAAUUCGAAGCUACGCGAAGAACCUUACCAGGUCUUGACAUCUUGCGCCAACCCUAGAGAUAGGGCGUUUCCUUCGGGAACGCAAUGACAGGUGGUGCAUGGUCGUCGUCAGCUCGUGUCGUGAGAUGUUGGGUUAAGUCCCGCAACGAGCGCAACCCUUGUUACUAGUUGCCAGCAUUAAGUUGGGCACUCUAGUGAGACUGCCGGUGACAAACCGGAGGAAGGUGGGGACGACGUCAGAUCAUCAUGCCCCUUAUGACCUGCGCUACACACGUGCUACAAUGGACGGUACAACG